UUAAGCGACUAAGCGUACACGGUGGAUGCCCUGGCAGUCAGAGGCGAUGAAGGACGUGCUAAUCUGCGAUAAGCGUCGGUGAGGUGAUAUGAACCGUUAUAACCGGCGAUUUCCGAAUGGGGAAACCCAGUGUGUUUCGACACACUAUCAUUAACUGAAUCCAUAGGUUAAUGAGGCGAACCGGGGGAACUGAAACAUCUAAGUACCCCGAGGAAAAGAAAUCAACCGAGAUUCCCCCAGUAGCGGCGAGCGAACGGGGAGGAGCCCAGAGCCUGAAUCAGUGUGUGUGUUAGUGGAAGCGUCUGGAAAGGCGCGCGAUACAGGGUGACAGCCCCGUACACAAAAAUGCACAUAUUGUGAGCUCGAUGAGUAGGGCGGGACACGUGGUAUCCUGUCUGAAUAUGGGGGGACCAUCCUCCAAGGCUAAAUACUCCUGACUGACCGAUAGUGAACCAGUACCGUGAGGGAAAGGCGAAAAGAACCCCGGCGAGGGGAGUGAAAAAGAACCUGAAACCGUGUACGUACAAGCAGUGGGAGCCUCUUAAUGGGGUGACUGCGUACCUUUUGUAUAAUGGGUCAGCGACUUAUAUUCUGUAGCAAGGUUAACCGAAUAGGGGAGCCGAAGGGAAACCGAGUCUUAACUGGGCGUUAAGUUGCAGGGUAUAGACCCGAAACC
rnacentral:rRNA from 1 species